UUGGUGUUGGGCUUGGGAAAAUGUGUAAUGAUCAGUUAAAAUUUUUUAUGUAUUUAUAUUUAGAGUUUAAUUAAGUGAAUGUACAAAUAAAUUAUGGUAACUAUAACAUGUCAUGGAACAAUUAACAGGAAUCAGGUACUGUUAUGAAAAAUAAGAUAGUAAUUCCAAAGAUGAGAUUGGCAAGGAAUGACCAUUUCAAUGGACAUGUAGGGGCAAAGUCAGCGGAAGUAGAGAAAAAAGUGGGUUUUUGAGAAGUGAAUGGAUAUAAGGGUACAAACAUAUGUGGUCUAUAGUUAUUCUCCCUAUUAAUAACUCACAUUUAUUUUAAAGGUAAUAGGGGUAAGUGAACUAUUUCUUUACCUUUGAGUUAUUUGUGUAGAACCUACCACACGUACUAUUAAACGCUUGGCCAACUGAGUGGCUGCUUCCAUUCAAAGUCAGUGUGAGUCAUGAUUAUCUUUCUUACUGUCUAAUUCUAUAAGUUCAUAGAGUCAGUAGGUUAGCAUUUGGGAAUUUUCCAUUUACUGACAUUGAUUCAAUUCAUUUCUUGAUGGUAGCUCCACGCAGUUACUCAAGAUAGAAGCUUAAGACAGAUUUUUUUUUUUUUAACUGCUAAUUGGAUUUAAAGUCAUAUUGAAACCAAGCUUAAAACAUGGAGGAAAACUGGUAAUGAUGACUCAGUACUGAAGCUAAGUUAAUGAUUUAGUGAUGAAUUCAGAUCUGUAGAGAAACUGAACAAGUCUCAGUAUUCAUCUACCUUUGGACAACUUCCGUAGGCUGAAGAAUUGCAGAUCAGAACAUUUUUGGUGUGUUUAGGGAGGAAUUUUAUAUUAAGGAGGUCUCUUUUUGUAAUGUUUAUUUAACUACUGUCUAUGUUAAGGCCACUUCCUUUUAUAAUAGAUUUAAUAUUACUUGAUACACAUUGUGCAGUAGGUGGGUGUUUAGCUAGGAGAAUAUUUUUUAAAUGAUUUUCUUUGUUGUUGUUGGUAUUUUCACAGAAUGUCACACUUACUCAAAGGAAGUUGUUUGACUUCCAGCAGUAAAGGCUGUCAGAACUUGUGGGAAUGCUAAGUAAAGCCAGUCAAACUUUAACUGACCUGCUUCUACACUUCAGUGACAAAGAGGAAUUUCUUCUACUUUGUGAAGUGGAAAGGCUUAACUCUCAUACCUGGCUGAAGAGUUAGCUAAUUUGGGGAACAGAUUUUCCUUGCCACUUGAAGCUAUAAAUCUGGUCUUCCUUAUUAAUUAAUUUUAGAAAAUAAUUCUGAUGUAUUUUUAGUGAAUACAUGGCCAACAAACUUUGUCUGACAAAUAAGACCAAAAAACCUAGUUUAAAUCUAUUAACUAGGUAGAAUGUGCUUUUUGCCUCUAAGGAAGAAAACAGAGUCAAACUGAGAACCAUUUCCAAAGUGAUUUUUAGUUGUAUUAUCAGUUUUAAUAUUCUCAUUAUAUUUAUUCCCAGGUAGGCUGAAUACCUGAUUUGAAAAAGUGUAAUGACAAGUAUUUUAAGAUGAAACACAUAUGUAGUUAUUAGAAAAUGUUUUGAAGCAUUGCAAGAGAUCAGCGAGAGUCUAUUUUUAGAUUCUUACAGACACAUGCGAGAACAAACACAUUUUCAGUGUAACUUGACUACGUUUAUCAUUAGAUGUUCUGAUCUUUUCCUUGGUUUAUUUCAUACUGCAGAAUGAACAUAUUCAUUCAUUGAACAGAUGAACUGGUGAAUAUGAAUUAUGAUACUUGCUAUAAAGGAAACAAAGAGUGCUCAAGGUCUGUCAAAUUCAGAGGGGUUGUCAGAGGAGUCACCUCCAUGAGGAGAUGAAACUGUAGCUGCCUAUGAGCAAUGAGCAGGAGCAAGAGCAUUUUAGUCAGAGGGACAUUUUAGCAUUACCUGGAGAAAAGGCAGGAAAGAGUGCGGAGUAUUCAAGGAACGAAAUGCCAUGUAGGCUAGUAAGCACUGAGUCAAAGGGUCAGUGUUUUGAGAUGGAAGUCUAGGUAGAUAAGGGCCAGAUAAGAGAGGAUGUUAAUAUUGUGGUACAGCUUCUCACUAUGCAACCGCUGAAGUGAAUGAAUAAGAAAGCUUCCUAAAAUAAUGAGAGCAAUGUACUUUUCUUUUUCUUUUUGAUGAAUGUGAUCUUACCUUCUGCCAGUCAGCCAGAGACAUCCAUCUGCUUCAUGUAGUAUGGGGAGUGGGGUUAAUGUUAUCAGAGCUGAAAGACAAUGAGAAGGCCAACUUUGAAUACUCAAAUGGAACCUUUGAGUGCUCAGUAAGACAAUAGUCCUGAAAGCCAGACUUUUUUUCAAAAAGUGUUUCCUAACUUCCUAAAACUUUACGUAAUAUACAUGAUCCAGGCUUAUAGAUUGAACAUUGAAUUUAUUAUAAACUAUGGAGAACUCAAAGAGAUACGAAAGAUUUUCUGCUAUAUGAGACAAGGUAAGCAUACCUUUUCUGUCCUGGUAAAGAAUAGAAAAGGGGACUCUGAUAGAAGGUGUUUUGUGCAAAUGGUCAAAGUAUUUUGAUCUUUUACCCCUGAAAUGAAAUCCCAGGGUAGGGAACACAUUUGGUUGAAAGUGAAAUCUUAAAGUACAGGAGUUUUCCAGUGACUUAGUGAGUAGACUACAACUGAAUAUAAAUGGUUGGAUGGUGUGGUCAAUCCCAAGUAUUCCUCAGAGCUUGUGUGGGAUUGAGAGCUCAGGACAUUCUGCUUGAAGUGAGGAAUUCAGAAGUCAGCUGAGAUGGGCCAGUAUAUCUGCCAUAAGCCUGCCAUGCCCAUAGCAAAGGGUUAGGGGAUACCACACAGAAGUCAAAGUGUUAAUAGCCUGGCAGAGAGAUUCACGUGGAGGAUGUGUAGGGGAAGGAAAAAAUUUCCCUCAACCCUUUUUAGGUUCUUCUGACAGGUCUAAGAAUUAAAUUGAAAUGAGACAGAUUAAUAGGUGAAAGUCAAAAUUGAUUACACAUGCACAGUGUCCUAUAAGAAAAACGAGACCCAUGGAGAAGUUAAGCAAUUAUAUAAGAUGGCUUUAUGCCAUCUGAGAGAAGGAGAGCCAGGGUAGUUUAGGACAUCAAAGGGGAAGAAGGCAAUUCACAUGGAGAUGGAGAAACAAGUGUUUGGUAUGCCAGGCAGAAAUAAUGGGACACAGAGGGGGCUUUAGUCUCCAGGCCAAGGAGGUCCCCCUACCACCCCUAGCCCAUAUUCUUCAUAGAUAUCUAUGGUAAUGGUGCUCUUCCUGGAUCAGGCCCUUUAUCUAAAUCCUUUUAGGCAGUUAGGGAGGUAAAAAGUGAACCAUUUUCUAAGUCAUCUAUUUCUUAAAAAUAAUCAGCCUAAAAUAAUCCUCAUGCCAAAGAGACACAUUUUGUGGUCACAAAUUUUGCUUCCUUACAGAUGUAACUGAGAUUUAGAGAGUCUGACAGCACCAGUGAUAGCUGAGAUAGGGCUCACUUAGAACAAGAUGAACAUAGUUCCCAAACAGCCAGCUGAAUAGGCCAGUCAUGGAUUUUGACAGUAGAUGUCUGAAGUAGCCACGUGACCGACAGAUAAGGGACAUUGUUGCAGAUUCCAGAGAACACAGAGCAGGGACCUGCUGAUUUGAGUUUGAGGCUACAUUUUUCCUGCCACUGCACGUCAUAGAAGCCCACCUGUUUAUAAACUCAGAUACCUCUGGAAAGAAAAAUAGUGCAUUGGAGGAAAUAUAAAAAACUGAACAUUUACCAGCUAUGACUAAAUUUUUAGAAAAAUAAUAUACAAGAUGAAAUAGCAUUAAUUAGCGCUUUGUGUUCAUUCAUGCAAUAAAUAACCAUUGAGUGUCUGAGUGCCUCAUAUAUCAUCACAGUGUGUACAACAGACACUAGCCCUUGUCCUUCUGGAGCUUACAUUCUAGUGAGGGUAGCUCCCUGUUGAGGCUAUAGAAGAAAAAGAAAACUGCCUAAUUGAAAAAAUAAAGAUAUGGAGUUCCCAUUGUGGCUUAGCAGUUAAGAACUCAACUAGUAUUCAUGAGGAUGUGGGUUAAAUCCCUCACUUCACUCAGUGGGUUAAGAAUCCAGAGUUGCCUCGAGCUGUGGUGUAGGUCACAGAUGUGGCUGGGAUCCUCCAUCACUGUGGCUGUGGCUUUGGGUGGCAGCUGCAGCUCUUAUUUGACCUGUAGCCUGGGAUUUCCAUAUGCCACAGGAGCAGCCCCUCCCAAAAAAGAUAUGACAGUUUAUUUUCACAUUCAAAUGGUAGUGUGUUAUAUAUCUUUAAUUCUGCAACGUUGGGGGUGAAAAGUAUCCUGGUGGUAUGCAUGACCUUGUGGUUUAAAAGAAAGAAAAGCUAACAAUGAUUACAGAGUUUCUUCUUGCUUGGACACUAAGUUUAAAUAACUUGACUUCUUAUCAUAGCGUCAGCGGUAGAAUCACCAAAAUUUAGAACUGGAAAAGAUUUUAGAGGUCAUCCAGCCUGGCAUCUUAGUUUGCCUGGUAAGGAAACAGAUGUUCAGGGAAUUGAAGUGAAAAUCACUGCUAGAAUUGGGAUUUAAAUAUAUGCUCCUUGAAAUUAGUUCAGGGCUCUUUAUAAUGAAACAGAGGUUCCAUUCAGAUCUUAGUAGAACGUAUUCAGUGGCUAUUUCACCUUGAUAUCAGUAGGCCAUUUCUUGGGCUGGCUCUUAAAAGUAUUAGGAACAUGAUGGGCCAUGCAAUGAUGUUGAAUAGAGGAUUAGGAGAAGAACAGACACUUGUUGGAAGGGUUGGUUGCUUUUCUCUUUCUCCUUAGAAUGUGAUGGCUGUCCCAGAAAGAGCCCACGUGCCACUCAGAGGGAAGAGUGUCUGCCAAGGUGGCAACUUACUCAGGGUUAAAAACAAGGGCUCAGAAUGAGGCAUCUGGGUUUAAGUCCCAGGUCUACCACCUAUCAACUAGUGUCAUAAUCAGCUGUGAAACCUGUAGCAGGAAUUUUUUUUUUUAAAGAAUGGAUAGACAUUCCCGUUGUGGAGAAGUGGAAACAGAUCCAACUAGUAUCCUUGCUCAGUAGGUCAGGGAUCCAGCAUGGCAAUGAACUGUGGUAUAGGUCGCAGACGCCACUCAGAUCCUUCUUUGCUGCGGCUGUGGCGUAGGUCAGCAGCUGUAGCUCUAAGUUGGCCCCUAGGCUGGAAGCUUCUGUGGGUGUGGCCCUAAAAAAUAAAAAA
rnacentral:lncRNA from 1 species